CAACAAAUUUCCGAACGUCUGGUGAUACAGAUUGUGAGAAACUUGUGUUUUUAACAUGAGAAACCUAAACGCAUGUACAGUAGCGUGAUUAUGUCUCUUUGUACUUUGUUGACAUAUUUGUUCUACGACAUGCACUAAUUUAAAAAUAUAUUUACGGGCGAAUAUUGUCAAUAAGGAACUUCGACCCAAGGACACUUCGACCCCAGGACAUUUCGACCCAAAAUAAAGACUUCCUAAUGAUAGAUGUUAUUUUCUACAUUUUUGAAAAUUUAUAUUUGUUCAUGUGGAAUCCUAAACAGGACCCAGAAAAGCCAGAAAUUAGCUAUAUCAUAUCUGGAACAACUGAUACGGGGACUGGAUAGACAAGCUUACUGUCGCUGAGUGGCAGCUUUUUAAUUUCUGACUUUUGCAGCCACCGCUUGACCGUCACAAUAUAAAACAAACUGUAUAAGUCGGAUUAGUUCGACUAGGGGACUGGAAUGCGGCAUUUAUCUUAGUUUAUGAUGUCGUCCAAUUGAAGCCUAUGCCAUCUUCUGUUAUAAUGACAAAGUUGAUAAAGAUCAUUACCAAACAUUCUCCCAGAUUCUUGGCUGUAAACAUAUGCGGUACCAGUGUACCUUUCACAACCAGUGCUACCUCACAGCAGUAUAAUAAAAUGAGAUAUGAUCCUCCCUACUGCAGACAGAAGAGGAAACAAGAGAACUACAGGUGUAAGAGAAUGCUAGAACACCUCGUACCUUCAAAACAAGAGUGGCUAAGAAAACUACAGAUUGAGUAUGAAGUAAUGAAAGCUGAAGGAUGUACAGAGGUGCCAGAUGAAAUGGAUGCAUAUGAGUGGUAUGAUGUUUUACAGGCACAAACUGAAGAGGAAAUCUUUUUUAGAUACAGAUAUAUUAGAUCAGGUCAGAUUGACCUACAAGAUCGGGAAAAUCACGGAUUGCUAGCAGACAUGGAACUUGACAGUUACCUUCAGAAGUUAAAAUAUUCCGGGCAAACAGAAUAUUCUUUCGUGCAUAUUGAUGAGGAUUGCCUUGAAAGUAGACAGUACAUACAAAAUAUGAGUUCUGAUUUGUUUGGAUAUAAACUUUGUCAAGAUAUCAUUAUUGAAUUUCCACAAGUUGAUUGGAUGAAAAAGAGUGGUGGACUAGAUGCCAGAAUGCAAAUACAAAAUCUGAAGAUAAUUUUAGAAAUGAAUCGUAGGCAUAUACAACCUUCUAAAUUUCAUGUCUCAAACUGUGGAGAAAUGUGGAAAUGUCUUCAGUGUCAAGCAGAUUUGAAAAAAUUAAUAAAAGAUUUUCCGUGUGUAACUUUUCACGAUGGAAAUAUUUUCAGUGAAUUUAAAAAUGACAAAUUGGUCUAUAUUAUGCCUAGUACGCCAUGGUCAUCGGACAUUCUAGAGGACAACUCGGAUGCUAUCCCUAUACUGCUACUUUCUAACAGACAAAAUCCGUACAAUUUAAUAAAAAGCUGUGCAGAUUCACAUGGCAUUAGACAUGUCAGUUUUCCACUCCAUAAAUAUGUAAGAUCCAUGUGCUAUAGAAUAGACCAACAACAAGACCAAUGUCGAGAAGAUCGCCCAAGUACAAAUAUAAGGCAGGAUUUUUCCAGGAUUAUGCAGGGAAGAUCAUUUUAUCUGGAUUCCUGUUUCUACAAAGCGGGAAAGUAGACACUGUACCAGGAAUUUUCAAGAAGACCGGGAUCCCGGGUAUACUGCAAAAAAAGCAUCCUGGAGUUUAUAAAAUAGAGCAUAAUUUUCACAAAGACCAGGACCCUGGCUGUAUUGAAACAAGAGGACCAUGAUGGUCCUGAAUUGCUCAUCUGUCCCUACAUGACCCAGUUUUGAACUGAGGAAGAUGUCUUUUGGACAAUACCGAGAAAAGAGUAAACCAAAUUCCUUAUUGCAGACUAUGCACAAAGUCGCCAACCACGAACCCACCUAAAGUUGUUGGGUCAUGCGGAAACGAGUUUUGUUGUAUUGCAUGUGUAGUCAACUAUUUGUCCAGGCAUUUAAAAAAGAAAAUUUGGAGAAUUUAACAACAUGUCAUCUCUUCGGAGAGAAAGAGAAAAAACGAACCCGCAAGGGUAGAUAAAACUUCCCCACUCGGGGAACCGUCUCAAAAACUGAGGAGGGUGUUGUUUCACCCCCCGCCCCCGAGGGUCAAGGAAAGAAAGAAAGAGGGAGAGAAGAGAAUCAGGAUGUCCCCUGGCAUCCAAAGAUUUUACGCUUGGGAAGAUGUUAACUUUGGAGGACUUAAAAAGGAAAAUUUGGAGAAUUUCACAACAUGUCAAUGGAUUUAGACAUUUUUGUGACAUUAUGACAAUGGAUGUAAACAUAUUUCUGACAUUAUGUCAGUGGAUGUAAACAUAUUCAUUACAUUAUGUCAACGGAUGUAAACAUAUUUGUGACAUUAUGUCAAUAGAUAUAAACAUUUUUGUGUGACAUGAUGUCAAUGGAUGUUAACAUAUUAGUUACAUUAUGUGGAUGAAAUGGGUUCUAACCAUUUUCUUUACAGGGAAGAUAUUUAACUUUGUAAGGAAAAUUACAAAGGAAACUUUGGAGAGUUUAACAACAUGUCAGUGACAUGAAACAUUUUGUAAUAUUAUGUCAGUGGACUGAAACAUUUAUAUAACAUUAUGUCAAUGGAUGUAAACAUUUUCGUGACAUUAAGUCAGUGGAUGUAAACAUUUUCGUGACAUUAUGUCAAUUGAUGUAAACAUAUUUGUGACAUUAUGUCAACUGAUGUAAACAUAUUACCAGUAGUUUCAUUAUGCCAAUGGAUGUAAACAUUUUGGUUACAUUAUAUCAAUGGAUGUAAAUAUUUUACUGGUAGUCACAUAAUGUCAAUGGAUGUAAACAUUUUAGUUACAUUAUGUCACUGGAUGUAAACAUAUUACCGAUAGUUACAUUAUGUCACUGGAUGUAAACAUAUUACCGAUAGUUACAUUAUGUCAAUGGAUGCAAACAUUUUAGUUACAUUAUGUCAAUGGAUGUAAACAUAUUACCUACAGUUACAUUUUGUCAAUGGAUGCAAACAUUUAGUUACAUUAUGUCAAUGGAUGUAAACAUUUUUGUGACAUUAUGUCUAUGGAUGUAAACAUAAUAGUUACAUAGACUAAUUAGUGCACGGAUUUUAACAUCUUCGUUGAAAGUUACUACGUAUUUUUUAAAAUCUGAAAACAAGGAGCUGCGUUCAAUAAACGCAUAAUGUCCCCGGUGGCAUCCUUGUCCAUACAAAGCAACCUAAGUCCAAAACGAGGUCAAGGUCAAGGUCAAACUGAGGUCAGGUGAUGUUUGAAGAUGAGGAAUGGUCACAGGUUGCAUCUGUAUUAGUAUCAAUUCAUUCUUGUAAGCGGUAUUGAUGCUAGACGAAACUGUCCCAUUUGGUUAACCAAGUGAUGGCACAUAUAAAGCAACCUAAGUCCAAAAUCAGGUCAAGGUCACACUGAGGUCAGGUGAUGUCUGAAGAUGAGGAAUGGUCACAGGUUACAUCUGUAUUAGUAUCAAUUCAUUCUUUUAAGCGGUAUUGAUGCUAGACGAAACGGUCCCAUUUGGUUAACCAAGAGAUGGCACAUAUAAAGCAACCUAAGUCCAAAAUGAGGUCAAGGUAAAGGUCAAACUGAGGUAAAGUGAUAUCUGAAGAUGAGGAACGUUACAGGUUACAUCUGCAUUAGUAUCAAGUCAUUCUAGUAAGGGGUAUUGAUGCUAGACGGAACGGUCCCAUCUGGUUCACCUCGUACGGACGGACGAAUGGACGAACAGACAGGACAAUCACUACAAAGCAUUUACUCUUCUUGUGACUUUCUUUCAACACAGAGUGGAAAAAAUUACUUCAUCAGAAAGUUUUAAUGGUCAUAAGUAAAAGGUAAAAAGUAUAACGCCCUUAAGUUUUGUACUGAGACUUCCAAGAGACAUGGAAACAAGAGGGCCAUGAAGGCCCUGUAUCGCUCACCUGACCUAUUGACCUAAAGAUCAUCAAUAUUAACAUUCUGACCAAGUUUCAUUAAGAUAUGGUCAUAAAUGUGGCCUAACUAGCUUUUCCUUUGAUCUGACCUGGUGACCUAGUUUCUGACCCCACAUGACCCAGAUUCGAACCUGACCUAAAGAUUAGCAAGGUUAACAUUCUGACCAAGUUUCAUGAAGAUACAGUCAUAAAUAUGGCCUCUAGAGUGUUAACAAGCUUUUCCUUUGAUUUGACCUGGUGACCUAGUUUUUUACCCCACCUGACCCAGAUUUAAACUUGACCUAAAGAUCAUCAAUAUUAACCUUCUGACCAAGUUUCAUUAAGAUAUGGUCAUAAAUGUGGCUUACACAGUGUUAACUAGCUUUUCCUUUGAUUUGACCUGGUGACCUAGUUUUUGACCCCACCUGACCCAGAUUUAAAGUUGGCCUAAAGAUCAUCAAGAUUAACAUUCCGACCAAGUUUCAGUAAGAUAUGGUCAUUAAUGUGGCCUCUAAAGUGCUAACUAACUUUUCCUUUGAUUUGACCCGGUGACCUAGUUUUUGACCCACAUGACCCAGAUUCGACCUUGACCUAAAGAUCAUCAAGAUUAACAUUCUAACUAAAUUUCAUGAAAAUAAAGUCAUAAAUGUGGCCUCUAGAGUGUUAACAAGCUUUUCCUUUGAUUUGACCUGGUGACCUAAUUUUUGACCCCACCUGACCCAGAUAUAAUCUUGACCUAAAGAUUAUCAAGAUUAACAUUCUGACCAAGUUUUAUUAAGAUAUGUCAUAAAUGUGACCUCUAGAGUGUUAACUAGCUUUUCCUUUGAUUUGACCUGGUGACCUAGUUUAUGACCCUAUAUGACCCAGAUUCAAACUGGACCUAAAGAUUAUCAAGAUUAACAUUCUGACCAUGUUUCAUGAAGAUACAGUCAUAAAUGUGGCCUCUACAGUGUUAAAAAACUUUUCCUUUGAUUUCGACCUGGUGACCUAGUUUUUGACCCCAGAUGACCCAAUAUCAAAAUAGUCCAAAAUUUUAUUGAGGGUAACAUUCUGACCAAGUUUCAUUAAGAUUGGGCCAAAAUUGUGACCUCUAGAGUGUUAACAUUCAAAUUGUUGACGACAACGGACGACGGACCCUGGGCGAUCACAAAAGCUCACAUUGAUCAAUUUGUGGUAAGUUAGCAAAUUAUUUCUGUAUAAACUUUUAGAAAUAAUACUAAAUGUACUCUUUCAUUUAAUGAUUUUACAAAACAAUAAGUUAUUUAGAAAAGUAGUUUUCUUUAAAGUCAGUCAGAGCAUUAAAAAGUGAAAUGCGUUACUACAGUUUAGGUUAUCUGUACAUGCAUAUUGAUCAAAGACAGUUUCACUCUAACAGAUCAUAGAAUGAUAAGAGCUUUUUGCUCAGUAUGAAGCUCAUAAUUUGAUGAUUCUAGACUAAAUAGUUGUACUUUCACCUUGUUUUUUUUUGCCACGAGUGCACAUAUUUGAGCUGAUUUAAGAUGUGCCAAGAAAUUAAUAUUUCUGCUAUGACAAGUUGUAUUGUUUCAAUUACAUGAUGUAUGCCUUUUAACUACAAAAUAUUUUUCAAUAUUAGGAAAUGAUAAUCCUUAUAUUCUUACUGUAAAUACUAUUGAACUUUAACAGUCAAUUUGUUAACUGUAUUUCUCGCCAAAAAGAAUUUCAAAUCAUAUUUACAAGGUAUUCAAUUACAUGUUCUGGGGUUUCCUGAAGACCGGACAAUUGUCCUGAGUUUUCCUGUCAUCAGGAAUUCCUGGGAUUUCCUGAAGACAGGACAAUUGUCCUGGGAUAUCCUGACUUCAAGUUCCUGGGAUUUCUUGAGAACAGGACAAUAUUAUUCUUUUAUGUCCGGUCUUCAGGAAAUCUCAGGACAUUCCUUGGAUUUUCAGGAUAGCAGGUUUGGAAUUCUCAGAUGUCCUGUUUUUUUUUCCUAUUCAUAGGAAAAUCCUUGGAUUGUCCCAUUCCCAUUUAACGGCGUGAAAAGUCCCAGGACUAUCCCAGGAAUUCCUGAGAUAUUUUCAGGACAUUAUCCCAGGAUAGUCCUGGGACUUCCUGGGAUAAUCCCAGGAUUUCCUGUUCCAUUUUCGCACAGGUAUCUUGCGUGUAUUUAUAAACUGAUUUGACGAAGUUGCUGUACACUCUAAGGGCAUCGUUGUUUGUUUUUCUGCCACUGCGGCUACAAUUUACAAUUACGGACACUUUACGCCAGAAUUUUUUUAAUUUUCUGGUUCUCGGGAGCGCCAACCUGAUUUUUUCAAUUUAAAAAUAAAAAUUAAAGUGAC